GACGAACGCUGGCGGCGUGCUUAACACAUGCAAGUCGAACGGAAAGGCCCUGCUUUUGUGGGGUGCUCGUGUGGCGAACGGGUGAGUAACACGUGAGUAACCUGCCCUUGACUUUGGGAUAACUUCAGGAAACUGGGGCUAAUACCCGAUAGGAGCUCCUGCUGCAUGGUGGGGGUUGGAAAGAUUCGGCGGUUGGGGCUGGUCUCGCGGCUUAUCAGCUGGUUGGUGGGGUAGUGGCUUACCAAGGGUUUGACGGGUAGCCGGCCUGGGAGGGUGACCGGCGACAUUGGGACUGAGGUACGGCCCAGACUCCUACGGGAGGCAGCAGUGGGGAAUAUUGCGCAAUGGGCGGAAGCCUGAUGCAGCAACGCCGCGUGCGGGAAAACGUCCUUCGGGUGGUAAACCGCUUUCUACUGUGACGAAGCGUGAGUGACGGUAAUGGGUAAAAAAGCACCGGCUAACUACGUG
rnacentral:rRNA from 1 species